rnacentral:rRNA from 1 species
AGCGAACGCUGGCGGCAGGCUUAACACAUGCAAGUCGAGCGGGCCUUUCGGGGUCAGCGGCUGACGGGUGAGUCACGCGUGGGAACGUGCCCUCUGGUUCGGAAUAACUCAGGUAAACUUGAGCUAAUACCGGAUACGCCCUUUUGGGGAAAGGCUUGCUGCCGGAGGAUCCGCCCGCGUCUGAUUAGCUAGUUGGUGUGGUAACGGCCCACCAAGGCUACGAUCAGUAGCUGGUCUGAGAGGAUGAUCAGCCACACUGGGACUGAGACACGGCGCAGACUCCUAGGGGAGGCAGCAGUGGGGAAUAUUGGAAUAUGGGCGCGAGCCUGAACCAGCCAUGGGGGGAGAGUGAUGAAGGCGUUAGGGUUGUAAAGCUCUUUUAUCCGGGACGAUAAUGACGGUACCGGAGGAAUAAGCCCCGGCUAACUUCGUG